CCUGCUACCACGCCCGGCUAAUUUUUCUGUAGUUUUAGUAGAGACGGGGUUUCACCGUGUUAGCCAGGAUGGUCUCGAUCUCCUGACCUCGUGAUCCACCCGCCUCGGCCUCCCAAAGUGCUGGGAUUACAGGCUUGAGCCGUGGCACCCGGCCCAGGAACUUCUCUUAUAUCUAGAAGCCAGGCUUGGUGACUCUACUUGCUCACCAGAUGAUCCUACACCUGCCACCUCCGAUGGAUCCACUGCCUCUGUGCCUGCCUGUACUGCUGAUGCUCCAGUGGAUAACUCAGCAUCCCAGCCUAGGCCCAAUGCCACUGAAGAUGGACCUGCCCCCUGGAGACCCAGGAGUUCUACCACUCAGCUGUCCCCAGAAGUGCCCAGACCCUCAUUCUUAUCCAGGACCUAGGAGCCCUACCCCCUGGCCUUCCGUCAUCAGCCGUAAAUGAUGAUUUACUGCUGUUACCAUCAUCACUGCAUUUAGUAACCAAGGGCCUUCCAAGGUGCCAGCUCUGGAACGAAGGAUGCCUUUGGGAGGUGAUGACACUCAGGUACACGGGUGCUCAACAGAUUGCUUCCUCCUAUCCUCAGAUGGUCUUUGCAUGCAUGCAGCCAUUGGCACUCCCAUUGUACGCAAGGAAACCAGCCCAGGGUCACACAGCUGGUCAGCAGCAACACAGCUGGUCUCAAAUCUAAGGUGCCUGGCCAUGCCUCCAUGAGGGACCGCCUGCAAGGGAGGUUGAUCCUGGCUUUGGGGAGCCUUUCCUGGGCUGCACGAGUAACCUCCAAUGUUUGAGGCCCCAAACUCUGCUCACAUCUUCCUUUCCCUGUCUCUGCUUGGGCUAUGAUCACGGUGACUCUAGCAACCCUUCAUGGACAUUAUAGUACUCUCUGCCAUUCACUUUUGGUCUAAUCUGACUUCAACCCCCACUUACUUGGUCUCUCCUUUUACAACCAACACAACCGAAAUCCGAGGGCUUCUUUUUUUUUGAGACAGAGUCUCAUUCCAUUCUGUCACCCAGGCUGGAGUGCAAUGGCACGAUCUCGGCUCACUGCAACCUCCACCUCCUGGGUUCAAGGGAUUGUCCUGCCUCAGCCUCCUGAGUAGCUGGGAUUACAGGCGGGUGCCACCGUGCCUG
rnacentral:lncRNA from 1 species